UACGAAGGGAGCUAGCGUUGUUCGGAGUCACUGGGCGUAAAGCGCACGUAGGCGGAUGUGUCAGUCAGGGGUGAAAUCCCGGAGCUCAACUUCGGAACUGCCUUUGAUACAGCACGUCUUGAGUCCGAUAGAGGUGGGUGGAAUUCCUAGUGUAGAGGUGAAAUUCGUAGAUAUUAGGAAGAACACCGGUGGCGAAGGCAGCUCGCUGGGACGUAACUGACGCUGAGACGCGAAAGCGUGGGGAGCAAACAGG
rnacentral:rRNA from 1 species